CGAACGGCAGCACAGCAGUAGCAAUACUGUGGGUGGCGAGUGGCGGACGGGUGAGGAAURCAUCGGAAUCURCCUWKUYGUGGGGGAUAACGUAGGGAAACUUACGCUAAUACCGCAUACGAMCUAYGGKUGAAAGYGGSGGACCGCAAGGCSUCRCGCAGAUWGAUGAGCCGAUGYCSGAUUAGCUAGUUGGCGGGGUAAAGGCCCACCAAGGCGACGAUCSGUAGCUGGUCUGAGAGGAUGAYCAGCCACACUGGAACUGAGACACGGUCCAGACUCCUACGGGAGGCAGCAGUGGGGAAUAUUGGACAAUGGGSGCAACCCUGAUCCAGCCAUGCCGCGUGUGUGAAGAAGGCCUUCGGGUUGUAAAGCACUUUUGUUCGGGAAGAAAAGCCGCCGGUUAAUACCUGGUGGUCAUGACGGUACCGAAAGAAUAAGCACCGGCUAACUUCGUGCCAGCAGCCGCGGUAAUACGAAGGGUGCAAGCGUUACUCGGAAUUACUGGGCGUAAAGCGUGCGUAGGCGGUUUGUUAAGUCUGUCGUGAAAGCCCCGGGCUCAACCUGGGAAUGGCGAUGGAUACUGGCGAGCUAGAGUACGGUAGAGGAGAGUGGAAUUCCCGGUGUAGCAGUGAAAUGCGUAGAGAUCGGGAGGAACAUCAGUUGCGAAGGCGGCUCUCUGGACCAGUACUGACGCUGAGGCACGAAAGCG
rnacentral:rRNA from 1 species